GGUUAAGCGACUAAGCGUACACGGUGGAUGCCCUGGCAGUCAGAGGCGAUGAAGGACGUGCUAAUCUGCGAUAAGCGUCGGUAAGGUGAUAUGAACCGUUAUAACCGGCGAUUUCCGAAUGGGGAAACCCAGUGUGAUUCGUCACACUAUCAUUAACUGAAUCCAUAGGUUAAUGAGGCGAACCGGGGGAACUGAAACAUCUAAGUACCCCGAGGAAAAGAAAUCAACCGAGAUUCCCCCAGUAGCGGCGAGCGAACGGGGAGCAGCCCAGAGCCUGAAUCAGUGUGUGUGUUAGUGGAAGCGUCUGGAAAGGCGCGCGAUACAGGGUGACAGCCCCGUACACAAAAAUGCACAUGCUGUGAGCUCGAUGAGUAGGGCGGGACACGUGGUAUCCUGUCUGAAUAUGGGGGACCAUCCUCCAAGGCUAAAUACUCCUGACUGACCGAUAGUGAACCAGUACCGUGAGGGAAAGGCGAAAAGAACCCCGGCGAGGGGAGUGAAAAAGAACCUGAAACCGUGUACGUACAAGCAGUGGGAGCACGCUUAGGCGUGUGACUGCGUACCUUUUGUAUAAUGGGUCAGCGACUUAUAUUCUGUAGCAAGGUUAACCGAAUAGGGGAGCCGAAGGGAAACCGAGUCUUAACUGGGCGUUAAGUUGCAGGGUAUAGACCCGAAACCCGGUGAUCUAGCCAUGGGCAGGUUGAAGGUUGGGUAACACUAACUGGAGGACCGAACCGACUAAUGUUGAAAAAUUAGCGGAUGACUUGUGGCUGGGGGUGAAAGGCCAAUCAAACCGGGAGAUAGCUGGUUCUCCCCGAAAGCUAUUUAGGUAGCGCCUCGUGAAUUCAUCUCCGGGGGUAGAGCACUGUUUCGGCAAGGGGGUCAUCCCGACUUACCAACCCGAUGCAAACUGCGAAUACCGGAGAAUGUUAUCACGGGAGACACACGGCGGGUGCUAACGUCCGUCGUGAAGAGGGAAACAACCCAGACCGCCAGCUAAGGUCCCAAAGUCAUGGUUAAGUGGGAAACGAUGUGGGAAGGCCCAGACAGCCAGGAUGUUGGCUUAGAAGCAGCCAUCAUUUAAAGAAAGCGUAAUAGCUCACUGGUCGAGUCGGCCUGCGCGGAAGAUGUAACGGGGCUAAACCAUGCACCGAAGCUGCGGCAGCGACGCUUAUGCGUUGUUGGGUAGGGGAGCGUUCUGUAAGCCUGUGAAGGUGUGCUGUGAGGCAUGCUGGAGGUAUCAGAAGUGCGAAUGCUGACAUAAGUAACGAUAAAGCGGGUGAAAAGCCCGCUCGCCGGAAGACCAAGGGUUCCUGUCCAACGUUAAUCGGGGCAGGGUGAGUCGACCCCUAAGGCGAGGCCGAAAGGCGUAGUCGAUGGGAAACAGGUUAAUAUUCCUGUACUUGGUGUUACUGCGAAGGGGGGACGGAGAAGGCUAUGUUGGCCGGGCGACGGUUGUCCCGGUUUAAGCGUGUAGGCUGGUUUUCCAGGCAAAUCCGGAAAAUCAAGGCUGAGGCGUGAUGACGAGGCACUACGGUGCUGAAGCAACAAAUGCCCUGCUUCCAGGAAAAGCCUCUAAGCAUCAGGUAACAUCAAAUCGUACCCCAAACCGACACAGGUGGUCAGGUAGAGAAUACCAAGGCGCUUGAGAGAACUCGGGUGAAGGAACUAGGCAAAAUGGUGCCGUAACUUCGGGAGAAGGCACGCUGAUAUGUAGGUGAAGUCCCUCGCGGAUGGAGCUGAAAUCAGUCGAAGAUACCAGCUGGCUGCAACUGUUUAUUAAAAACACAGCACUGUGCAAACACGAAAGUGGACGUAUACGGUGUGACGCCUGCCCGGUGCCGGAAGGUUAAUUGAUGGGGUCAGCGCAAGCGAAGCUCUUGAUCGAAGCCCCGGUAAACGGCGGCCGUAACUAUAACGGUCCUAAGGUAGCGAAAUUCCUUGUCGGGUAAGUUCCGACCUGCACGAAUGGCGUAAUGAUGGCCAGGCUGUCUCCACCCGAGACUCAGUGAAAUUGAACUCGCUGUGAAGAUGCAGUGUACCCGCGGCAAGACGGAAAGACCCCGUGAACCUUUACUAUAGCUUGACACUGAACAUUGAGCCUUGAUGUGUAGGAUAGGUGGGAGGCUUUGAAGUGUGGACGCCAGUCUGCAUGGAGCCGACCUUGAAAUACCACCCUUUAAUGUUUGAUGUUCUAACGUGGACCCGUAAUCCGGGUUGCGGACAGUGUCUGGUGGGUAGUUUGACUGGGGCGGUCUCCUCCUAAAGAGUAACGGAGGAGCACGAAGGUUGGCUAAUCCUGGUCGGACAUCAGGAGGUUAGUGCAAUGGCAUAAGCCAGCUUGACUGCGAGCGUGACGGCGCGAGCAGGUGCGAAAGCAGGUCAUAGUGAUCCGGUGGUUCUGAAUGGAAGGGCCAUCGCUCAACGGAUAAAAGGUACUCCGGGGAUAACAGGCUGAUACCGCCCAAGAGUUCAUAUCGACGGCGGUGUUUGGCACCUCGAUGUCGGCUCAUCACAUCCUGGGGCUGAAGUAGGUCCCAAGGGUAUGGCUGUUCGCCAUUUAAAGUGGUACGCGAGCUGGGUUUAGAACGUCGUGAGACAGUUCGGUCCCUAUCUGCCGUGGGCGCUGGAGAAUUGAGGGGGGCUGCUCCUAGUACGAGAGGACCGGAGUGGACGCAUCACUGGUGUUCGGGUUGUCAUGCCAAUGGCACUGCCCGGUAGCUAAAUGCGGAAGAGAUAAGUGCUGAAAGCAUCUAAGCACGAAACUUGCCCCGAGAUGAGUUCUCCCUGACUCCUUGAGAGUCCUGAAGGAACGUUGAAGACGACGACGUUGAUAGGCCGGGUGUGUAAGCGCAGCGAUGCGUUGAGCUAACCGGUACUAAUGAACCGUGAGGCUUAACCUU
rnacentral:rRNA from 1 species